AUGGACCGUAACCUCCCUUAUAGGCAUAUGUGUGAAUAUGACUCGGACGACGAGGGUCCGAAGGAAGAAUUGGACGAGGAUGGAUUCACGGCGCAAGAAAAUCAAGUCUACAAGAAGGUCAGUGGCAAGAAAAGAGGACCCUCUUUGUUUCGUGGUCUUAGCUUUGCCGACAAGGCCGUUGUUGAUGGGGGCAUGAGAUUGGGGUUGGUUGAACCAUCACCUUGCACGAAUAUUGGUGAUCCAAGGCCCUCGGAUGAGGACGAGAAUGCUCAUUUGAAUAAAGGCAUCAAGUUUGGGUGCUUGCAAGAGUUCAAGAUUUCGUUGAGUGACUAUGCCAUUAGGAACCAUAAGCCAUAUGUUGUUGGUCAUUCCGAUCAAAAUGUGCGCUACACCGUCAGAUGUGACAAAGAAGGUUGCAAAUGGAAGGUCCGUGGAAGAAAAAUUCAUGAAACCGGGCAAUGA
rnacentral:rRNA from 1 species